AUUGAACGCUGGCGGCAGGCCUAACACAUGCCAGUCGAGCGGAUGAAGGGAGCUUGCUCCUGGAUUCAGCGGCGGACGGGUGAGUAAUGCCUAGGAAUCUGCCUGGUAGUGGGGGAUAACGUCCGGAAACGGGCGCUAAUACCGCAUACGUCCUGAGGGAGAAAGUGGGGGAUCUUCGGACCUCACGCUAUCAGAUGAGCCUAGGUCGGAUUAGCUAGUUGGUGGGGUAAAGGCCUACCAAGGCGACGAUCCGUAACUGGUCUGAGAGGAUGAUCAGUCACACUGGAACUGAGACACGGUCCAGACUCCUACGGGAGGCAGCAGUGGGGAAUAUUGGACAAUGGGCGAAAGCCUGAUCCAGCCAGGCCGCGUGUGUGAAGAAGGUCUUCGGAUUGUAAAGCACUUUAAGUUGGGAGGAAGGGCAGUAAGUUAAUACCUUGCUGUUUGGACGUUACCAACAGAAUAAGCACCGGCGAACUGCGU
rnacentral:rRNA from 1 species